GGUGAGCUUUUUUCAUAUUAUUUCUGACAUUUUCACUCCCUUCCAUUGCUCCAUUCACACCGAGGAGGUGUCGGGCUUUGCGCUUACCUGCCCGGUGACGGCGGGAUAACGCAGGUGUAAAGACGAACAGCGAGGACUUCCCACUGUGAUCUGGUGUGUGGGUGUUUUUCUGAUGUCGCUGGAUCCACGCACAGUAAACAUCGGCGGUCACAGCAGAUCGCGCAGGGGCGCUCGGUUUCUGUAAUUGAAUUAUUGUUGCGGUGACAGAAGAGCGGCUCCUUCACAAACGACUGAAGGGCCUAAAAAUAACAGGUCCGUCAUGCUGAUGAUGAUGCGGUGGAACGGGGGGAUUUUUACAUAACAAACAGUGUUUGUGCGCAGAAAUCUGUAAUCCGACAGGAGCUGUGCAGCUUUUAAGGACAGGCUUUUAGUUUCAAGGCUUUCCAGGAGUCCUUGAAGCCUCUUCAAGGGUUAAUUUGAAUGGGUUUAAGCUGUCAGGGCUCUGCACUGUAAGAGUGUAGGUCUACAGAUGAAAUAUGACUUUAAGCACUUUCCUGCUUUUCUCUGCCACAUUUCGUGAACAUUGGAAAUGAUGCGAGCUUCAGAUGUAGCAAAAAACGCCUUUGAGUAAUGAGGUUAUCACCCUCAAGCGCACUUGUGAUGUUACUGAUGUAUUGUUUGAUUGUGAGGUGAGGAAAGUGCUCUUUGAGUCACGUUCAUUAACACCAAGACCGUCAGAUGUGGACUUGUGAUGGGGGACGUACUUUUCAGUCAGUUUUAUUUAUAUAUUGCAUUCAUAUUUAUUUUUAUGUGAGAGUAUUUAUGCUAAGGUUUUUUGCAGUCCGGCAGUAAUGCCAUAAUUUCUUUAUGCUUGCGUGAACGAGGAGUCUUGACUCUUGAGGGACUGAGGAGGCAGGAUGAAGGAAAACCAGUGUAUGAGUUGUUCUGAGUUAUUUUCUGCUUUCCUUUGUUUUUAUGCUGCUUGUUGAAUGAUAAAAGAAGCAAUCUGAAGGCGUAGCUGGGCCGAUUUCCACAUUCUUCAACAUUAAUCAACUAAAAAUCAUAGCAAAAUGAGAGAAAGUAUGAGUCAAAACAUGUUAAUUGUAAAAACCUGAAGGAAGGAUCUGGACUGUGGUGGAUGAGCUAAUAUGAAAGUUCCUGUCAGAUCUGGCUGAUUGAGCGGUUAAAUGAACCUGUAAUAUCAGACCAAAGCGGUUUUACUGCCAUAAUAUUAGUGCGUGGCUAAUUUCUGGCAGAUUUUAUGACCUUUAGUAUCUUACAUCUGACUCACUGAACAGGAAACACUUUAUGGAUAAAAUCAUUUCCACAAAGAGAUCUGAGAUCAUCAGCAAGGAUCUCCAGUGCUAAUUUAGCUUUGAACUUUCACCACAUUUCAGUCUCGAUCUGCAGCUCCCUUAGCCGCGGCACACACGAUUAGACCAGUAAAAAAUAUAGAGCGAUACAACAUACAUGCAAAACACGACACACUGUAAAACCUGCAUCUAGAAACCAGGCAGCACUUCUGACGGUGCUUUUAAGCGUGAAAUGAUCCUGCUUUCCGUGUUUUUCUCUAUUAAUUUAUGUCUCAGUUAAGUGAAGCACACAUGAUAUUCCUGUUUCCCUCCUGCACUGAGAUGCGUUCGUGUGUCUCAAAUAAAUAUUGGUGCACACGGGAGCAGCAGCUGCAGGGUGGCAUGCUUGCUGCAUCCCUGCCAUCGGCUCAGUAAUGCAGCAUCAGCACUUCCACAGAGUGCUGCUGUGCAUUGUGUACACAGAGGCCAGGUUUCUGUUUCUUUGUUUGUUGUUUCAUCACUGAUGGGGUUUUUUCUUUCUUUCUUUUUUUGUUGUUGUCUCAAAACAUAAGUGAGGAAUAAUUUCCUACCGCGUGGUCAGCUGAAAAGACGGAUUUUGGAGCCUGACCCCAAACACAGGUUUAAUCACAUGCUAUCUUAUGAUAUCUGAGAUGGAGCUCACAUGUUGACUCUAACUUGUGGUUAAAAACUGGAGUCAGUUCUUAAUUAAAAGCGGUAAUAAUCAUACCCUGACAUUAAGUGUUAUAUCCUCCAUCUGCCUGCUCGUUUCUCACGUUCACACUGGAGCAAAAAGAGCAAAGUUCAGGCUUUCACAGGAGGACUCUUCUUCACGGCUACUCAUCCACCACGCUCUCAGAUGUGGCUUAGCACCAGCUUCUACAAACUACUGUUGAUAACUUCCAUAACUCACGCUUUUGUUUCCCCCCUUAUCUUUACUGUCUGCGUCAUGUUGUACGAGACCGCGAGGCUCCCUCAAGGUUGCAGUCCCCUUCUCACCUGUGCUCACGCCAGCUGCUUCCUCUGUUUGUGCCAAACAGCUCGAUGUUGUGGCUGCAAACAUGGGGGGAAAAAACAUCAGGUCCUGUGCGCCAGAAAAUAUUUCCAAGAAAGAGCGAGCUAAACAAGAGCAAAUGCUACUCUAAUAUGAGAUAAAGAAGGUGAAAUGUGUACACACAGGCGUGGCCACCCUGAGUUACGGUGAAAUCAUUUCACCUCAGUCAUGAAGGGGAGGUGUAGGUGAUGGGGGAGGACAGUCCAGCUCCAGGAACUAUUUUCUCUGUGAAAUUAUUCUGCUUUUGUCUUAUUCUCACUGUGCAGCUGCAUUUUUUUGUUGCACCUGCAGUGUGGAGUCACCUGUAGCAUCUGCCAGUCAUAUCACCAGUCCUCAGCACCCAGACUGCACCGGCGCAGCCUGAAGUCGGCAGGAAAUCUGACAUUUAAGCCUCUCCAGAACGAUUCUGAUCGAGUCUGCGUUGGUGCUUCACAUCUUCAAACGCAAAGUUUGCCAAACCGAGCGAAGCCUGGCUGUCGUUUCAGGGCUUUGUAGCGAGACAGGAAGGCCUGAUGAGGCUGGUUUUAUUUUAUCACUCUGUUGUCACGGCAGCCUUGUUGCCUCCAGGCUUUUUCUAACUUCACAAACAUUACAGCACAAGUUCUAAUAUCACACAGAUCCAUGAUGACUAAGAUGCAGACCUCCCACACAGGUUGUGGUCACAGAAGAUGGAGAUGAUGUGAAUGUGUGUGUGUGUGUGUGUGUGUGUGUGUGUGUGUGUGUGUGUGUGUGUGUGUGUUUUCAGUGUGUUUCUGGAGACGUCGUCUACCUUUCCCCUCAGUGACGGGGCUCAUUAAGGCUUCGUUUGUGAAGUCAGUGGCGUGUUGUUUCUUUUCACUUCUGCAUUUGUGUCUGAGACUUUUGCACAGUGUUUCUAUUAAAGUCCAAACGGGCCGAGACGCACGGGCUGCUGAUUUAAAAUCACACACACUCGGGUCGUGGAUGGUGAUUUUGUUUUGUUUUUUUUGUUUUUUUAAAUAAAAUGUUAAUUUCAUGUACAGCAAAGUGCUUGGAAACCAAAUGUUCUCUUAAAGUGUUUCUGCUGUGUUCAUUCAAUGCUGAUGGAGGAAAAACUAUUUAAUAUUUAAUCGCUUUCAAUCUACAGUUAUGAGUCGAUUGGUUUACUAAAUGAAAUCAAUAUAUUUAGUAAAUCACUGGAGAUUUAUGUAGGCACUUUUUAAAAAAAAAAAUCAAUUUAAAAAAAAUAAAAUAAAAAGAUUUUAGGUGCAAAUCUCUGAGAUGACCCGGAUGCCUUUGAGGAUCAUCUUCAUGUCCUUACUGGGUUCCUCGAGUGACUGACGCCUUCAGACCUUGAAUGUAUUUAAUGUUUUUGUUUUGUGCAGACAGAUCUGAACUAAUAUAUAUAUAUAUAUAAAAAUAUGUGUAUAUAAAUUGUAAUAUUUACAAAAUGAUUAUUUCUAUAUUGUGUUAUUGCACAGAACUAUAUGAUUAAUAAAUGUUGAGGUGUUUCUUUAUUUGCACGUCUCCGUCUCAUUUGUUGUUGCUGUUGUAAACACAGCUGAUAUUUUGUGCAGCAUUUGUCUUUAGCUGCUAGUUUUUACAUAAGUCUGAAAGUUUUCACACAACUGUUUGAGAUGCUCUGCUAAAAACAGCAGGAACUCUUUAAGGGGUUGCAGGGUUUUAAAUUCCUGGUGGUGAACCUUUUUUCUUCUUGCUGAACAGUUUUUCCUGGCUGGAUGAACCUUUUACCCCCUACAUGCUGCAGGUUAGCCCACAACAACUGCUGUCAGCAGUAAAGUUGAUGAUUGUGUUCCCAGAAAGUGACUGAGAAACAGUGUAACUCAAGCACGGUGAAGAAACAGCACAGCGAGUUGUACUGUUUGAAGUUGUGAAAAAAAAAAUGACACGAAAUCUGGUCUUUCCCUUUUAGGAGACUGCAGGUUAGCUGGCAUGAGAACUUUGCCCAUGAUGCAACACAACAAUCAGACAUCUGAUGUCACGUCGCACAGUCAAAUCAGGUCAAUUUGUUUACAAGGAUGGUUAAAAGAAAAAGCUAGACAUUGAUCAUGCACAGCUAAUAAAACAAUAAAUGCAUUAAAACAUAAAAGUACUAUGACCUAAAAAGUAAACAAUACAAAACAAAGCAGUCUAGUUUAACCUGUUUUCUAGGCUUCCUGCUCGAAAAUGACAUCCCCAAAAUGAAUGGAGUAUUUCUCUGCAAUCACAAACUGUGUAAACAAUCUUGGUAUCAAAAUAAAGCUUACACUUGUUCAUCAGAGGUGUAAAAAUUGCAGCAGAUGUUACUGUGUCAAAGUUACUCAGGCUGGAACACAGAAAAAGGUUUUAGUAGAAAACCCUUUUAAAAAUAUGCUUUAGAUCUCAUUUUAAUCCAGAAAUUCAGUAAUCAACAUAUAAACAUCAUCUGUGCAAAGAUUUGUGCUUCUAAAGUAAAACAGUGAAAAAUUGCAGCACAUUUAAUAAAUAAAUAUUCAGACAUUGUACAACAAGUCCAAUCCUGACACACUCUGGACACCAUAUAUGAGUAAAAGUUUUAGGUAUUAAACAGCAGAGAUUAUUUAAUUUCAUUAACAUGCCUAAAAAUGCUUGUUUUUUGAAUAUUUUUGAAGAAUGAACUACACAUUCACAGACUCUUAAUUGGGACACAGCCAAUGGGCCCUUUCUGAGGGGUUGCCGCUUCCGGCUUCUUUUGGCCUCUUUUAGCGGAUUUGCAUGAUUGACACUUCUUUUUAACUGUUUGAGCCAAUAGAACCGUGGUAACGAUGCCACUUCAUCUAAUCAGAAGUUGCAAAGCCAGACCCCACCUGGGCCCAAUUUAUGUCUGUAGCUAGGUCUAAAAUGACGGAAGUGGCUCUGAUGCGCUAGUUAGCCGCGCUAGCUGCUGAUAACCAGGGUGCUAUCGGCUACCUGCGAAAAUAACGGAGGAAACUGGGAGUGUUUAGGGCCACCUGCUGACGACUUGAAAGCCACCUGUAACAGACGAAACACACCUGUGGGAUGAAGUCAGAGAAGCUCGAGGUCCUUCUGUGGGUAAUGAUCAUAAGAAGCUCAGGUAAUCAGGAUUUACCUCUGCACACAGAUCACACUACAGCUUCUGCUUUUGCUUCAUCAGCUUUAUUUAGCUCAAGAAUACAUACAGGAUAAAGAGUAAAAAGAAAAGAAAACAGUAUGCAACCCCUCUCCCUCUGUGUAAAUCAUCAGGGGGACAUAAUGAACAAAUCCUGCGUGACGGUAACAGGCCAAACAAUGUUUUUCAGUGGGUGAGAAAAAGGCACAGACAGCUCUAGAAGAGGUAACACGUUUGAGAUAAAAUGGCAGUUUCACAGGGGGCACACAGACAGUUCGUAGUUUGCAGAUAACGUGUGGAAAAGUAAAAAUGAUUGUGGCCAAAUGAAAACAAUCCUCAACAUCAAAAUCACAAUAUUUCAUCAAACACUGCAACUGAAGGAUGCAAGCCUACUUUCAACUCAUUUAAUUUGAGGUAAAAUUUGUUAGAAGUCAUAAAAUUUGAUCUUAAGGACAAAAAAAACCAAACUAAAACUAAAUUCUAGUGUUUCAUCACAUUUCUACCA